rnacentral:rRNA from 1 species
UACGUAGGGUGCGAGCGUUGUCCGGAAUUAUUGGGCGUAAAGGGCUCGUAGGCGGUUUGUCGCGUCGGGAGUGAAAUCCACUGGCUUAACUGGUGGCUUGCUUUCGAUACGGGCUAGCUAGAGUGUGGUAGGGGAGAUCGGAAUUCCUGGUGUAGCGGUGAAAUGCGCAGAUGUCAGGAGGAACACCAAUUGCGAAGGCAGCUCGCUGGGACGUUACUGACGCUGAGACGCGAAAGCGUGGGGAGCAAACAGG